rnacentral:lncRNA from 9 species
AUGACAUGCAGGAACUUUCCGUCUUCCAUCCAGAUUGACAUCCUGAUGCAAGGUGUCUCUUUUCUUCAAACCUCAGAUGUUCUCUACACAGACAGAAAAAACAUAGUAAUGUUGCAAAAUGCAGGACCCAAGAAUUGUCAACGCUCAAGGGCACUCAAGGGGCUCUCUUCUCUAAGACCCCUUUCUCAGUGAGAGGAUUCUACACUGUUGACCCCUCUCUCAGUGAAGAUGCUGGAGAGUUUUGGCACCUGUUCCCACUAACUUACUUUCGUGACUUGGAUUAUGACCUCCCCAUGUAAGGGAAGGCAGUAUAGUUACUGCCCCAUCCCCAUUCCUACCACUGAAAUAAAAUUCAUGUCUCCUACACUUCUAAACACUACUAGAUUCAAAUAGGCUGACAAUCUGCAACUCCACCUAAAGAUCUCUCAAAUCUUGCAGGUAAGAAAUUUUAUUUUCAUCACAAAAUAUGUGCAAUGAUUAACCUGUCUAUGUGAACUUCUAAAAGAUGAUGAAUAUUUUCUAAACUACUCUUCCCUUCAUUAACAACUUAUGAUGAUUAUGAAUGUAUGUAACCCUCAUUUGAACAAAAUUUCGUACUCACUAUAUAGGUCACAUGUAUAUAUGAUGUGCUGCGUUCCCUGUUGUAGAAGUAGCACAUAGGAAUAUAGUAGGCAUUCAAAACAUAGGUCUUAAAUGAAAGAACAUUUACAAGAUAUUCCAACUCAGAGUGUCCUGGAAAAUACAAAUUAAAGUAACAAUAAACUAUACUUUGCAUCUAUUAGACUAUAACAAUUUUUUUUUUUUUUUUUGCUUUUUAGGUAUGCAUCCAUGGCAUAUGGAAGUUCCCAGGCUAGGGGUCAAAUCAGAACUGUAGCUGCCAGCCUAUACCACAGCCACAGCCACAGCAGCAGCCACAGUAAUGUGGGGUCCAAGCUGUGUCUUCAACCUGCACCACAGCUCGUGGCAACACCAGAUCUUUAACCCACUGAUCGAGGCCAGAGAUGGAAACCACGUCCUCAUGGAUACUAGUUGGGUUCAUUUCCACUGAGCCAAAAUGAAAACUCCACAAUUUUUUGAGUUAAGAUUCCUAUUAUUAAGGAGGAUGUUAAGAGAAGGUAUUUUCAUGCAUUGUUUUGACAAUAGGAUUGUUAACAUCAAUUUGAAAGGAACCUGGCCCACCUAUUAAAAUACGGUACACAUACCCUUUAAAUCAGCAACCCAGUUCUGAGAAUCCUUCUCCUAGGAAGAGAGAAACCAUCUAUAAGAACAUAGAGUCUAUAGGUAGCUAUGUUUGAAUAUGUAUUUUAUGUAUGUAUAUGCAAUAUGCAAUAAAUAUAUAUAUGUAUGUUCACUUGAGAGGAGGAAAAAUAAAACAUUUGUGUUUUUUCAACACUGGAAAAUUAGGUAAAUUAUUAUAUAUCAUAUUUUGAAAUGGUGUAUGUCAUUAGAAAGAUAAGUAGAGCUGUAGCAUUUGACUCAGAGGGUUUUCCAUGAAUAUUACUAAGCAAGAAAAGCAACAGAGAAAAGACUGCAUAAUAUAAUAUUAUGGAUCCACUUUUCUUGAUUUUCUUUGAUAAAAUGUGUGCCACUAAAUACCAUUCUUCUCUUGGUUGCUCAAGUUGGUCCUCCUUGUUACCCUUAUGGUCUCCUGUCAUUAAUGACACUUCCAAUCUAAGGCAGAUGCCAUUCAAACAGGCUAUCAGUUGUCUUUACUUUUCUAAGUGUGGUGGUGAUUAAAUUGUGGAUUUUUUUGUUUGAUUUUAAUUCCCUGGAUAUGGAGAAGUUGAUGCUUCAUUUUGAUAACCUGUAUUCUUUAUUUCUUAAUUA